UACGGAGGUGGCAAGCGUUGUUCGGAAUCACUGGGCGUAAAGGGCGCGUAGGCGGGGAGGUAAGUCGGGUGUGAAAGCCCUCGGCUCAACCGAGGAACUGCGCCAGAAACUGCUUCUCUUGAGUCCCGGAGAGGAAGGUGGAAUUCCCGGUGUAGCGGUGAAAUGUGUAGAGAUCGGGAGGAACACCUGUGGCGAAGGCGGCCUUCUGGACGGUGACUGACGCUGAGGCGCGAAAGCGUGGGGAGCAAACGGG
rnacentral:rRNA from 1 species